CAACUCGCCUGCAUGAAGUCGGAAUUGCUAGUAAUGGCAGGUCAGCAUACUGCCGUGAAUACGUUCCCGGGCCUUGUACACACCGCCCGUCACACCAUGAGAGUUGGAAAUACCCGAAGCCUGUGAGCUAACUUAAAGAGGCAGCAGUCGAAGGUAGAGCCAAUGAUUGGGGUGAAGUCGUAACAAGGUACC
rnacentral:rRNA from 1 species